GACGAACCGUCCAAACGUUAUUCGGAAUUAUUGGGCUUAAAGGGUGCGUAGGCUGUUCAGUAAGUUGGGUGUGAAAUCCCUCGGCUCAACCGAGGAACUGCGCCGAAUACUGCUGUGCUAGAGGGAGAUAGGGGUAAGCGGAACUGAUGGUGGAGCGGUGAAAUGCGUUGAUAUCAUCAGGAACACCGGUGGCGAAGGCGACACACUGGGUCUCAACUGACGCUGAGGCACGAAAGCCAGGGGAGCAAACGGG
rnacentral:rRNA from 1 species